rnacentral:rRNA from 1 species
GAUGAACGCUGGCGGCGUGCCUAAUACAUGCAAGUCGAGCGAAUGGAUUAAGAGCUUGCUCUUAUGAAGUUAGCGGCGGACGGGUGAGUAACACGUGGGUAACCUGCCCAUAAGACUGGGAUAACUUCGGGAAACCGGGGCUAAUACCGGAUAACAUUUUGAACCGCAUGGUUCGAAAUUGAAAGGCGGCUUCGGCUGUCACUUAUGGCUGGACCCGCGUCGCAUUAGCUAGUUGGUGAGGUAACGGCUCACCAAGGCAACGAUGCGUAGCCGACCUGAGAGGGUGAUCGGCCACACUGGGACUGAGACACGGCCCAGACUCCUACGGGAGGCUGCAGUAGGGAAUCUUCCGCAAUGGACGAAAGUCUGACGGAGCAACGCCGCGUGAGUGAUGAAGGCUUUCGGGUCGUAAAACUCUGUUGUUAGGGAAGAACAAGUGCUAGUUGAAUAAGCUGGCACCUUGACGGUACCUAACCAGAAAGCCACGGCUAACUACGUGCCAGCCGCCGCGGUAA